rnacentral:lncRNA from 1 species
GCCUCAGCCUCCCCAGGAGCUGGGACCACAGGUGUCCACUACCAUGUCUGGCUAAUUUUUUGUUUGUUUGUUUUUGCUUUGAGAUGGAGUCUCGCUCAGCCGCCCAGGCUGGAGUGGAGUGGCGUGAUCUCAGCUCAUGGAAACCACCAUCUCGGGGUUCAAGAGAUUCUCCCGUCCCAGCCUCCCAAGUAGCUGGGAUUAUGGGCACGAGCCACCACACCCAGUUAAUUUUUUUGUUUUUUGAAACGGAGUUUCACUCGUCGCCCAGGCUGGAGUGCAACGGCACGAUCUCGGCUCACCGCAACCUCCGCCUCCCGGGUUUCAGUGAUUCUCCUGCCUCAGCCUCCCGAGUAGCUGGGAUUACAGGCGCCUGCCAUCAUGCCCAGCUAAUUUUUUGUAUUAUUGGUAGAGACGGGGUUUCACCAUGUUGGCCAGGAUGGUCUCGAAGUCCUGACCUCAGGUGAUCCACCUGCCUCGACCUCCCGAAGUGCUGGGAUUACAGGCGUGAGCCACUGCACCCGGCCAUUUUUGUGUAGUUUUAGUAGAGAAGGGGUUUCACCAUGUUGGCCAGGAUUGUCUGGAACUCCUGACCUCAAGUAUCUGCUUGCCUCGGCCUCCCAAAGUGCUGGGAUUACAGGCAUGAACCACUGCCCCUGCCUGAGUUCUUUACAAUGGCACAUUCAUUUUCAAGUGACAAGGCUCAUUCGCUAAGAAUCCCCGAGGGACAGGGGAGACUGCGGUUUCAUAGGGGAGCCGUGUCUUUGUGCAGUGGGGAGUGGUUGUGAGGGCAUUCUAGGCUACACCUGAGGCUCCAGAUAGAUGAGGCCAGGUACGGAGUAUGACAGGUGACUUGAAGGGCUCCUGUAAUUGUAUGUACAUCCCUACUUGAAAUUUCAUGUCUUGGCCGGGAGCAGUGGCUCAUGCCUGUAAUCCCAGCAUUUUGAGAGGAUGAGGUGGGAAGAUCGCUUAAGCCCAGGAAUUCGAGAC